AGUGAACGCUGGCGGUAGGCCUAACACAUGCAAGUCGAACGGCAGCACAGGAGAGCUUGCUCUCUGGGUGGCGAGUGGCGGACGGGUGAGGAAUACAUCGGAAUCUACUUUUUUGUGGGGGAUAACGUAGGGAAACUUACGCUAAUACCGCAUACGACCUACGGGUGAAAGCAGGGGACCUUCGGGCCUUGCGCGAUUGAAUGAGCCGAUGUCGGAUUAGCUAGGUGGCGGGGUAAAGGCCCACCAAGGCGACGAUCCGUAGCUGGUCUGAGAGGAUGAUCAGCCAGACUGGAACUGAGACCCGGUCCAGACUCCUACGGGAGGCAGCAGUGGGGCAUAUUGGACAAUGGGCGCAAGCCUGAUCCAGCCAUACCGCGUGGGUGAAGAAGGCCUUCGGGUUGUAAAGCCCUUUUGUUGGGAAAGAAAUCCAGCCGGCUAAUACCUGGUCGGGAUGACGGUACCCAAAGAAUAAGCACCGGCUAACUUCGUGCCAGCCGCCGCAGUAA
rnacentral:rRNA from 1 species